GCCCAGACAAUGCCUGCUAACGGGCUGUGUCCCUCAGAUCUAUGCUGUGAUCUUAAAGCAGACAGCCACUCAAGGCCCUAGCAGGAUCGGCACUUGUGUCUCCUUUCGGGGGUGCCAGCCUUCUCGCCUUGAGUUUGUUUUCUUCCUGAAACUCUCCAGUCAUCACAAGCCUAUGUGACCAGAUGCUCAGCCCCUCUGAGUUCUGGCAUCUACUACUUCUGUUUCUUCAGCUCCAUCCAAUCCUGUUGGUCCCAGUCCUGGCCUUGACUUUGGCUACCAAGCACUCACCUGGCGUCUACCUCUCCUGAACCCGGCUUCUUAAGGAUACCGAAGUAUAUGGAGGGGGGCACAGCUGUCUGCAACUCCAGCUCAGGUGAUCUGACACCCUCUUUUGGCCUCCACGGACAGCUAAACGCACACAGUUGCAGAACGACCCAGAUCAUCGGUGGAUAUUCAGCAUGACCUCAUCAAUGCAAGCAGUGCCCAGACGAAGAAUGAGGACAUCAGCAGCCCCACCCCCACCCCCUUGGUAUCUCCCAGCCUCUUUCAACCACUGGCCAAACAAGGAGCCUCUAUCCUGACCUUUAACAUCGAAGAUUGGUUUGGGCUGGUUUUGAGUUGACAUAAAUGGGAUUGCCCAGUACACAUUCCUGUCUGGAUUCUUUGCUCCGCCUUAUGUUUUCCAGCUUGGCCUGUGUUUUGCAGAGCAAACCAUUCAUUUUCCACAGUGCAGUAGAGCGUUCUACACUUCCAGAGUGUGGAACACAAUUAAGAAGUGCAUGGAGAAAGAGAAGAGCUGGAGAGUGAGCGAGAGAGCAGCAAGAUUCUUACAGUCCUAGUCGUGGCUCACUAGCCUGACCCUGCCUGAAGAGAUAGGAAAGGAACUGUGCUCCACGUAAAUGAACCUGCCUCACCCUCAAAAUAAUCCAGAGCCUGGAUCAUCCCACAUGGACGCUACUGGACCGGUGGCCUGCAAGAUAGAACCAAGAAACUUUCUUCCCAACUGUUAUAAAAAAGAACAGAACAGAAGAGAACAAAACACAGCAAUCCUUAGAUUCUCUCCCAGCCCACUUCCCCUCUGGAAACCCAUUUACUGUCUCCUUCUAGUGUAUUUCAAUAAAUUCUCCUGUGUUCCAGUUAA